rnacentral:rRNA from 1 species
AUGAUGCCGACGUCGGGCAACGACGCCGGCGCCUGCGACGGCGACGGCUCGCCGCACGGGGUCAAGAAGAUGUGGACCAAGGAGGAGGACGACCUGCUGCGGGAGCAGGUGCGGCGCUGCGGCGGCCCGCACAACUGGGACUCCAUGUGUCGAGGCCUGCCCGGCCGCAACUCCAAGUCGUGCUGCCUCCGCUGGUGCCAGCACCUCGACCCCAGGGUGGAGGCCGUCAAGCCCUUCACCAUCGAGGAGGACAUGCUCAUCGUCAAGUACCAGGCCACCUACGGCAACCGCUAG